GACGAACGCUGGCGGCGUGCUUAACACAUGCAAGUCGAACGGAAAGGCCCCUUUGGGGGUACUCGAGUGGCGAACGGGUGAGUAACACGUGAGUAACCUGCCCUUGACUUCAGGAUAACUUCAGGAAACUGGGGCUAAUACCGGAUAGGAAUCCUUGCUGCAUGGUGGGGGUUGGAAAGCUUCGGCGGUUUUGGAUGGACUCGCGGCUUAUCAGCUUGUUGGUGGGGUAGUGGCUUACCAAGGCUUUGACGGGUAGCCGGCCUGAGAGGGCGACCGGCCACAUUGGGACUGAGAUACGGCCCAGACUCCUACGGGAGGCAGCAGUGGGGAAUAUUGCACAAUGGGCGGAAGCCUGAUGCAGCAACGCCGCGGGCGGGAUGACGGCCUUCGGGUUGGAAACCGCUUUCAGCAGGGGCGAAGCUUGUGGUGACGGUACCUGCAGAAGAAGCACCGGCUAACUACGUG
rnacentral:rRNA from 1 species